rnacentral:rRNA from 1 species
UACGUAGGCAGCGAGCGUUGUUCGGAGUUACUGGGCGUAAAGAGUGCGUAGGCGGUUUUCUAAGUUUGGUGUGAAAUCUCCCGGCUCAACUGGGAGGGUGCGCCGAAGACUGGAAGGCUUGAGUAUGGGAGAGGUAAGCGGAAUUCCUGGUGUAGCGGUGAAAUGCGUAGAUAUCAGGAGGAACACCGGUGGCGAAGGCGGCCUUCUGGACGGUGACUGACGCUGAGGCGCGAAGGCGUGGGGAGCGAACGGG